GGAAUUAAAAGAGGCACACAUGUGACAUGGAACAAAAGACGAAUAGAAAUCAAAGGUUAUAAGAGGAGGACGCCGCCAUCAUGCAGGAUCACUCUGGGUUGCAAUUUCCACUGGAGGAGAUCAAGAAUGACCUCCAGCUGCAUGUACGGCCGCGGUCAAUCGCAAGAGUGCUUAUAGCGGCUUAAUCCUAGAUGAUCUGUGCUUUCAAAAGACACUGCUGCAAAAGGAGCUAGCUAGCUGCUAAGCUAGCGCGGAAAAAGGCAGCGCCGGUAAGAAGCUACUCCCACAGACCGCGACCACUUCCCUGAGGACAGCAGGAACUUCACUUGGUGACAAAAAAGCACUGUGAGUAAUGGCUUCCUGCGCGUCUUGCACCAUACUCACGGAGAGGUUGGCUCUGCUAGAGGGCCGUGUCCGCCAGUUAGAGCAGAGUAAUGUCGUAACUUUAGAUGUUGCGGACACAUCUGCUAGCGUUAGCUGUAGCGAGCUAACUAGCCCAGCUUGUAGCAGUCCUAAGCGGCCUACAAGCUACGGUGUACCGGUUGAGACGCAUAAUAGAUUUAGCUCUUUAGCUAGUCCUACACCCCAGUCUACCGGGCACCACACCUUAGUCAUAGGGGAGUCCAUCACCCGAAACAUAAAGCUUAGCAAACCAGCCACAAUAAAGUGUAUCCCCGGGG